CGCAGCCGCGGUAAUUCCAGCUCCAAUAGCGUAUAUUAAAGUUGUUGCAGUUAAAAAGCUCGUAGUUGAAUUUCGGGAUCAAAGAAUCGGUCAUGCCUUGGUAUGUACUGGUUUUAUUGGUUCUCACCUUCUAAAGAACCAUGAUGUCAUUCAUUUGAUGUUAUGGGGAAUUAGGACUGUUACCUUGAAAAAAUUAGAGUGUUUAAAGCAAGCUUACGCUUGAAUACAUUAGCAUGGAAUAAUGAAAUAGGACAUCAGAUUCUAUUUUGUUGGUUUCUAGGAUCGAUGUAAUGAUUAAUAGGGAUAGUUGGGGGCAUUAGUAUUCAAUUGUCAGAGGUGAAAUUCUUGGAUUUAUUGAAGACUAACUACUGCGAAAGCAUUUGCCAAGGAUGUUUUCAUUAAUCAAAGAACGAAAGUUAGGGGAUCGAAGACGAUCAGAUACCGUCGUAGUCUUAACCAUAAACUAUGCCGACUAGGGAUCGGAUGAUGUUAAUUUUUUAAUGACUCAUUCGGCACCUUA
rnacentral:misc_RNA from 1 species